UACGAAGGGGGCUAGCGUUGUUCGGAAUUACUGGGCGUAAAGGGCGCGUAGGCGGUGUGUCAAGUCAGGCGUGAAAGCCCCGGGCUCAACCUGGGAACCGCGCUUGAGACUGGCAGCGCUAGAGUCCGGAAGAGGUUGGUGGAACAGCUAGUGUAGAGGUGAAAUUCGUAGAUAUUAGCUAGAACACCAGUGGCGAAGGCGGC
rnacentral:rRNA from 1 species